AUUGAACGCUGGCGGCAUGCCUUACACAUGCAAGUCGAACGGUAACAGGUCUUCGGAUGCUGACGAGUGGCGAACGGGUGAGUAAUACAUCGGAACGUGCCCGAUCGUGGGGGAUAACGGAGCGAAAGCUUUGCUAAUACCGCAUACGAUCUACGGAUGAAAGCAGGGGACCGCAAGGCCUUGCGCGGACGGAGCGGCCGAUGGCAGAUUAGGUAGUUGGUGGGAUAAAAGCUUACCAAGCCGACGAUCUGUAGCUGGUCUGAGAGGACGACCAGCCACACUGGGACUGAGACACGGCCCAGACUCCUACGGGAGGCAGCAGUGGGGAAUUUGGACAAUGGGCGCAAGCCUGAUCCAGCCAUGCCGCGUGCAGGAUGAAGGCCUCGGUUGUAACUGCUUUGUACGGAACGAAAAGACUCUUUCUAAUAAAGAGGUCCAUGACGGUACCGUAAGAAUAAGCACCGGCUAACUACGUGCCAGCAGCCGCGGU
rnacentral:rRNA from 1 species